GGCUUAACAGUAGUAGAGUGCUUUGGUGCCUUCGGGAACUCUGAGACAGGUGCUGCAUGGCUGUCGUCAGCUCGUGUUGUGAAAUGUUGGGUUAAGUCCCGCAACGAGCGCAACCCUUAUCCUUUGUUGCCAGCGGUCCGGCCGGGAACUCAAAGGAGACUGCCAGUGAUAAACUGGAGGAAGGUGGGGAUGACGUCAAGUCAUCAUGGCCCUUACGAGUAGGGCUACACACGUGCUACAAUGGCAUAUACAAAGAGAAGCGACCUCGCGAGAGCAAGCGGACCUCAUAAAGUAUGUCGUAGUCCGGAUUGGAGUCUGCAACUCGACUCCAUGAAGUCGGAAUCGCUAGUAAUCGUGGAUCAGAAUGCCACGGUGAAUACGUUCCCGGGUCUGGUA
rnacentral:rRNA from 2 species